CACGUAGGCGGAUUUGUAAGUCAGGGGUGAAAUCCCGGGGCUCAACCUCGGAACUGCCUUUGAUACUGCAAAUCUCGAGUCCGGAAGAGGUGAGUGGAAUUCCUAGUGUAGAGGUGAAAUUCGUAGAUAUUAGGAAGAACACCAGUGGCGAAGGCGGCUCACUAGUCCGGUACUGACGCUGAGGUGCGAAAGCGUGGGGAGCAAACA
rnacentral:rRNA from 1 species